GGUCCGGGCGUUAUCCGGAUUUAUUGGGUUUAAAGGGAGCGUAGGCCGGAGAUUAAGCGUGUUGUGAAAUGUAGUGGCUCAACCUCUGCACUGCAGCGCGAACUGGUUUUCUUGAGUUCGCACAGGGAUGCCGGAAUUCAUGGUGUAGCGGUGAAAUGCUCAGAUAUCAUGAAGAACUCCGAUCGCGAAGGCAGGCAUCCGGAGCGCGACUGACGCUGAGGCUCGAAAGUGCGGGUAUC
rnacentral:rRNA from 1 species